rnacentral:rRNA from 1 species
ACGGGGGAUUAGGGUUUGAUUCCGGAGAGGGAGCCUGAGAAACGGCUACCACAUCUAAGGAAGGCAGCAGGCGCGCAAAUUACCCAAUUCUAACAGCAUAAGAGAGGUAGUGACAAGAAAUAACAAUACAAGGCAAUUAAAAUGCUUUGUAAUUGGAAUGAUAGAAAUUUAAACACUUUCUAAAGUAUCAAUUGGAGGGCAAGUCUGGUGCCAGCAGCCGCGGUAAUUCCAGCUCCAAUAGCGUAUAUUAAAGUUGUUGCAGUUAAAAAGCUCGUAGUUGGAUUUCUGCUAGAAGUAACCGGUCUGCUUUUUAUUAAGUGGCAUCUUGGUGUGCUUUUAGCUUUAAUAUCCUAUGAAAUGUUUUUUACUUUAUUGUUAAAAGCAAUAUUCAGGAUUUUUACUUUGAGAAAAUUAGAGUGUUUCAAGCAGACUACCGUUUUGAAUACUGCAGCAUGGAAUAAUAAAAUAGGAUUUUGGUUCUACAUUAUUGGUUUUAAGAGCUAAAUUAAUGACUAAUAAAGACAGUUGGGGGCAUUUGUAUUUAACU